rnacentral:lncRNA from 1 species
CUGAUCUUUCAUCAAUUGAUAAGAUUUUUUAUGUUUAGUUUGCUCAGUUUGUAAUUGCAAGAGAUUUCUAGAAAUAUGACAGCAUUACUUUGAUAUUUAGAUAAAUAGAUUUGUUUAGAAUCCCUGUCAUUUUUGGUGCUGUUGUAGCAUGCUUCUAUAUGCAUGGCCCUUUGUUCAAAUUGAUAUUAUUUGGUUGUGUAAUGUUUUUGUUCUAAGAUAUUUUGAGGGAGG